UUUGGUACCACCUUAAUAAAUGAGGUGCUAUGAUGUAAAUAAAUCAAGAUAUAUUUGUAAAUCACUUGAGUAAUUUGCAUAUAGAUAUAAGAAGAACUGGUAUGUCAGUGCCAAUGAGACAACUCUCCAUCCAAAUCACAAUUUGUAAAACUCUGUAUUACCUUAUUUACAUUGUUUUGCAAUUUCAAGUGGGUUUGAACAAACAAGAGCUAAGAAACUGAAAAUUCUCAUAUUUUGAAUUUGAGCAUGAAAACUUUGUGCUCAGAACACCAAAUCAAGUAUUUUGAUUGGUUGAUUUACAAGUCAAGAGUGUUAUAAUUGUAAUUGUACCAAAAUUUUAUAGGAUUAAAUAGUAAAUACUUGAAAAAAAUAUAUCAUUAUUUUACAAGUUUUGUUUGCUAAAAAAAACAAAGCUGAGUGUUUUUCUGCAUGCAGAACAAAAGACUGUUAUUGUAUAAAAAAAGAGUCUGCACUAAAUAUAAUCACAAUUAUAAAAAUAUAUUUCUUGUCUGCAAUUUUCAGCAAAAAUAUAAGUUUAAGCAGAUAUCACUCAUAAAUAUGAUAUACAAUAAUAGACUAGAAGUUAUUUUGACUAACAUUAAUUACUAAUCUAACACACAAUACAUUAACAAGUAAAAUGAGUACAAUUUUGUUAAUGAACUUUUAUAUACAUAUUUACAAGAUUUUGUAACAAUAGAAAUACAUUUUUUUAACAAAACAAAGAAAAAAGAAAAUAUUAAACGACUGCAUGAAUUUGACAAAGAUUGACUCAAAAACUUCUGGCCUGUCAACUGUUUUAACUGAACACUAGUAUAUCAAUUAUUGGGAAGAUCAAUAGAUUAUGCUAUUGAGGUCAAGGCCAACUGACAUUAGUAUAGUUACAAGUCAAUUACUCCUUAUAUUCUAAUAAAUACACAUACAACAUUUUGUUAGCAAUGGAGCAUAAAGAUAUAUCAAUGCCAUAAGAGAGGGGGGAUAGGACCUUUAUCGGGACUCCGGGAUCGGGUGUUUUAAAACUCGGGAUUUCGGGAUUGAUCCUUUCAGGAUCCGUGAAUUCUUUUUUUCGAAUUUCAGGACCUCAGGAUUUCAUGUUUUUAAGCCCGGGAUUUCGGGAUCAAGACCCCUCCUAUCCCCCUCAUAAGAUAAAUAGAAGGCAAGACAAAAACAAUCAUAUUUGAAUUAAAUGAAAACAGGCUAGUGUUACUUAACCAUUGUUUUACUUACAACCAGUUAUAAAUAGCUAACAACCAAAACAAACAAUUUGGUUUUACACAAGUUUUUUUCUGAUACAUAGGCCUGCAACUGUUACAAUAUUUCACAUUAAUUUAAUUUGUUUCUAAAACUAAAGGACUAUGGGUAAUUUAAUAGUUUUUUAUCGUUUGUACCCCAAAAAUGAUAAUAAUGUUGUAUCAUUGGUUGAAUUUCCAUUGUAUAAGAAGUUUAAAACCCAAUCACAAUGUUUGUAAGAAUGUUACAAGAAUGAGUUAGGUUCUUACAUGUAUAAGGACAAUGAAGUGUAUAUUAUCAAGGAGGAAAAGGUCUGAGAUUGUUAUAAGACUUUAGAAUGCAGGAUUGAUAAAUCUUGUUUUAUUUUUUAGCUCAAUGAAUAAGUCACUGUCAUAAUGUGAUAAUGGCCAUACCUGCCAACUGUCACUAUUUGCAGGGGAUUUCCCCUAUGGAAGCUCCCAAAUUGAAAUUUUGAAAGAGCAAUUUUGUCCACAAUUUAAACAAAACAAUUAAUUUUACAAUGACUUUAGGCUUAUAAAAGUAUGAAGAAGCCAAAAAACAAUAUUAAAAUGUAUUUGCAGGCCCCCUUGAAGGUUUUUUAGGACUGUCAGCCAUCUUGAAUGCAAAACCCCCAUGGGCAUUUUGAAAAGUUGGCAGGUAUGAAUGGCUAAUAAUACUUAUAUCAAUAUCAAAUGCCAUCAUGGCUUUAUACAGAAGCACCAAUAACAAUCUCAGUAAUGCCGUCAAAAAGACUAUGAUUGUUUUUAAAAGCCAAGUAAUAUAUGGUGGUCUAGCAGUCCUAUAUGUAAAUACCAGUAUUUACAGAUUUAAAGUGUAUUUACACUGCAAAUUGUUCAAUUCAUUUGUAAGAAUAACAGCAUUCAAUUGAUAAAUGAUUGAAGUACAAUAGUCUAAUGUUAUUAUUGUAAAUCUUGUAUCCAAUAAAAUUUGUGAGAAUGCAAAGAGAAUAUUUAACAUAACUCAAAGAAACAAAAUAAAAUCUUGCAUUAGAUCAAAAUUUCAAAAUCUAAUAAAAAAUAUAUUAAAAAAC
rnacentral:lncRNA from 1 species